ensembl:lncRNA
GAGAGAGAGGAUGAGAGCGGAUUGAAACCUGAUUGAUAGACUGAUAGAGCAGAACAGAUUGAGGAGGCAGGUAGCCUAGUGGUUAGAGUGUAGAGGAGGCAGGUAGUCUAGUGGUUAGAGUGUAGAGGAGGCAGGUAGUCUAGUGGUUAGAGUGUAGAGGAGGCAGGUAGACUAGUGGUUAGAGUGUAGAGGAGGCAGGUAGUCUAGUGGUUAGAGGAGGCAGGUAGCCUAGUGGUUAGAGUAGGCCGUAAUUGUAAAUAAGAAUUUGUUCUUAACGGACUAGUUAAAUACUGGUUAAAUGAAUAAACAUGUAAAGUCUGACUGUGUCCUGGCUCUAGCUGUGGUGUGUUGGGAGCGGUUAGAGUUGGGUUGUCUGCUGGUCGUUGUCUCUCCAUCACUCUCACUGGAGCUCACAAUACGCUGGGCCUUCCGACCAGCACGCCUCAACAAUGGCUUCCUAAAACACACACACAGGUCAGAUAGAGACAGACGGGUCAGAUCG